rnacentral:lncRNA from 1 species
AUGAAUUCUGCCAUCUUGACUGCAUUUGCAAAUAUCUCAGUCCUAAUGCAGGAGAAGCAAGUUCUCUGUAUGUGACUGUCAACCCAGCUCCUGGUGGUCCUAUGAUUGUUUGGGUAUGCUUCCAGCACAGGUGUAAAAUGCAACAAGGUGGGAAGGAAACCCUUCUCCUGCAGCAGCACCUGGGGUAGAAGGCUUAGACAACACAAGUUCACUGCACCUGAAUUGGGUGAAGUUUUGCAAAUUCAAUGGUGUUAAUUAUUAGUAAUCCCUGUGAUUAUAUAACAGUACUCAUGGUGGUGAUUCUUUUUGCUGAACAGAAACUAUGCAGCAAGAGAGAAGUGGUUUCUACAAAGAAAACAGUUCUUCCUCACAUUUCAAGAAUCAGUGAACAUCGAUAUUUAAGUCUUGAGAUUCCUGCUUUUUUGGAGCUUCCCAGGCAUAUUAAGAACAGUCCAAAUAACAGUUACAACAGACCUUACCUGUGGAACUAGCAGCAUUUCUCUCUCAACUUUUGUAUGCACUGAAUCUGGAUAUUAAUUAUACUAUUACUGAAAUGUACCUGAUAUCAUAAUUACUCAUAUUGGAGCAUCACCAAGGUUACAGUACUGUAAAAUAUUAACCUUCCAAAUGUCUUGGAAAACUUAGCCUGUCUGUAUAGCUCCUUCUGAGGCACCUUAUACUCAACUCAAGUUUUACUUACCAGUUUGCAAAGAUCUCAGGUUAUUAAAUGAAUGAACUAAACAAGAAAGAGCAUCUAGGUUUUUGCAAUAUGACCAAUUAACUAUGGAUUAAACCUUUGUAUAUUUACAUCCAAGGUGCCACAUUUAUUUCUUUUCUAAAAAUGUUGUUAGGCCUUUCAGAGAACACAAAGCUAGUUACUUGGAUGUAUGCUUCCAUAAUGAUUAUCCCUAAAUGCCUUUCUAUAAACAGGAGUGAGCUAUUUUAGUCAAUUGUAUUUGAAAGCUGAAAUAUUGACAAAUGAAGCCCAGUAUAAUGCAGUUUCAGAAUGCACAUUUAUGUCUACUUGCUACUAUCUCCUAACAUGAAAAGUAA